rnacentral:rRNA from 1 species
UAUCGGGAGGCAGCAGUGAGGAAUAUUGCACAAUGGGCGAAAGCCUGAUGCAGCGACGCCGCGUGGGCGAAGAAGGUCUUCGGAUCAGUAAAGUCCCUUUUCUGUGUGACGAGGAAGGACGGUAGCACAGGAAUAAGUACUCGGCUAACUACGUGCCAGCAGCCGCGGUAAAUACGUAGGAGGCAAGCGAUUAUCUCGGUAGUUAACUGGGUCGUAAAGCACGUGUAGGCGGUUGAGCAGGUCAGGUGUGAAAACUACCCAGGGUAAACCCGGAGAGGUCACUUGAAACCGCUCGGCUAGAGUACGAUAGAGAGGGUGUAGAAUUCCGGGUGUAGAUGCUGAAAUGCGCAGAUAUCCGGAGGAAUACCAGUGGCGAAGGCGCGCACCCUAGGUCGCAACUGACGCUGAGACGCGAAAGCAUGGGGAGCGAACGCGAUUAGAGACCCCGGUAGUGCUCACGCCGUAAACGAUACAUACUGUACUGUUCUGUGACGCGGAAAACCGCUUGUGGCAGUGGCGAAGCAUAACGCGAUAAGUAUGCCGCUGA